UCACCUCAGGGUGAAACACUGAAAGACGGUUUCGGCUGUCGCUAUAGGAUGGGCCCGCGGCGCAUUAGCUAGUUGGUGAGGUAACGGCUCACCAAGGCGACGAUGCGUAGCCGACCUGAGAGGGUGAUCGGCCACACUGGGACUGAGACACGGCCCAGACUCCUACGGGAGGCAGCAGUAGGGAAUCUUCCACAAUGGGCGAAAGCCUGAUGGAGCAACGCCGCGUGAGUGAAGAAGGAUUUCGGUUCGUAAAACUCUGUUGUAAGGGAAGAACAAGUACAGUAGUAACUGGCUGUACCUUGACGGUACCUUAUUAGAAAGCCACGGCUAACUACGUGCCAGCAGCCGCGGUAAUACGUAGGUGGCAAGCGUUGUCCGGAAUUAUUGGGCGUAAAGCGCGCGCAGGUGGUUUCUUAAGUCUGAUGUGAAAGCCCACGGGCUCAACCGUGGAGGGUCAUUGGAAACUGGGAGACUUGAGUGCAGAAGAGGAUAGUGGAAUUCCAAGUGUAGCGGUGAAAUGCGUAGAGAUUUGGAGGAACACCAGUGGGCGAAGGCUACUAUCUGGUCUGUAACUGACACU
rnacentral:rRNA from 1 species